UGGGGAAUCUUGGACAAUGGGGGCAACCCUGAUCCAGCCAUGCCGCGUGAGUGAUGAAGGCCUUAGGGUCGUAAAGCUCUUUCGCCUGUGAAGAUAAUGACGGUAGCAGGUAAAGAAACCCCGGCUAACUCCGUGCCAGCAGCCGCGGUAAUACGGAGGGGACUAGCGUUGUUCGGAAUUACUGGGCGUAAAGCGCACGUAGGCGGACCAGAAAGUUGGGGGUGAAAUCCCGGGGGCUCAACCCCGGAACUGCCUCCAAAACUAUUGGUCUAGAGUUCGAGAGAGGUGAGUGGAAUUCCAAGUGUAGAGGUGAAAUUCGUAGAUAUUUGGAGGAACACCAGUGGCGAAGGCGGCUCACUGGCUCGAUACUGACGCUGAGGUGCGAAAGUGUGGGGAGCAAACAGGAUUAGAUACCCUGGUAGUCCACACCGUAAAACGAUGAAUGCCAGUCGUCGGGUAGCAUGCUAUUCGGUGACACACCUAACGGAUUAAGCAUUCCGCCUGGGGAGUACGGUCGCAAGAUUAAAACCUCAAAUUGAAUU
rnacentral:rRNA from 1 species